UACGGGGGGAGCAAGCGUUGUUCGGAUUUACUGGGCGUAAAGGGCGCGUAGGCGGUCAGCACAAGUCAGUUGUGAAAUCUCCGGGCUUAACUCGGAAAGGUCAACUGAUACUGUGCGACUAGAGUGCAGAAGGGGCAACUGGAAUUCUCGGUGUAGCGGUGAAAUGCGUAGAUAUCAAGAGGAACACCUGCGGCGAAGGCGGGUUGCUGGGCCGACACUGACGCUGAGGCGCGAAAGCCAGGGGAGCGAACGGG
rnacentral:rRNA from 1 species